rnacentral:lncRNA from 1 species
AAUAAUCCAUUUUGUGUAGAUUAAAACUAUUUAAAGUAAUUUCAUGCAUAUAGAGUAAUUUCAUGCAUAUUUGAACUCUCAUUUUGCUCAUGGGGGUCCUGUCCCGGGGCGUGAUAACAAGGCCAUGUAAUAUUAUUUGCCCGACUUGUAUCGGGUUUACCUUUUCCGCGUUUAUUUUCAAGUCAUUUCAAUUUCUUGGAUGUUUACUUACGCG